AAAAAAAAACUAAUCUCAAAAACCUAAUUCUCAUCUCAUCAUUCCUAAAUCUCUGAAAAAUAUGGUAAAAAGAGUUCGAAUUGUAGUAUUAAUGAGAGACUAAGCACGUCGCAUAAUCGAUAUUUAGGUACAAAGAGAAUCAGGAAUGCAAAAUCCACUUUUUUUUACCUUUUAGGGUUUCUAAAUUCCUGAUUUGGGUAAUCGAUCGAUACAUAAUUGGUUAUGGAUUUGGUCCUAUUUCGCAGCAGAUUCAUUUUCCUAAAGGGUUUAAGAAAUAUUGUGUUAAACUGGAGCCUAUGAUAUGUAUAGAUUAGUGUUUGGUAUUAUGGUUUCUCUCUUGCGGAAUGUACCAGAAAAAAAAAAAACGUAUGAUUUUUCCACUCUGUCCAUAGUUUGUACAAAUUGUCAUGAUGGAUUAAUCAUUCUUAGGUUGCCAGCUAGACAAAACAUGCUAGCAUCUGUUUUGUUUUGUUAGAUUCAAAAAGUUGCGCAUCACAUCCAAAUUUUUGCAUUAUAUUUGUAAAUUGAUAAUGAAUACUAAUGAAUGUCCAGACAAAAAUUGAACCAACUUACAUUGUUGACAUUGGUGUGCUUAUUCUGGAUACAUAUAUUAAUCUUUGGAUGGCAAAUAAAUGCCCGGCAUCGAACCAGCUUAUAUCUUUUAUUAUAGGUUUCGGGGGUAACAAAUAAGAGGCAAGAUGCACACAAGUACAAGAGAAAAAGAAAUUGUGUCUAUCCGAGGUAUGAUAUUCUUAAUGUUGUAACUUAAAGAACUAUGGCGUCCUUCUUUCCUAGAUGUUGAGCUCCAUGCAUGGCUUGACCUCUGGAUAGUGAAAACCUAUGGGGUGAGAACCCCAUGGUACACCACAAUGGAAAACGAAAUUGUGUCUGUACGAGGUAUGAUAUUCUUAAUGUUGUAACUUAAAGAACUAUGACGUCCUUCUUUCCUAGAUAUUGAGCUCCAUGCAUGGCUUGACCUCUGGAUAGUGAAAACCUAUGGGGUGAGAACCCCAUGGUACACCACAAUGGAGGAAUGCAGCACGGACGGGGUUGUAGCAAGCAAAGGUACUGCUCAAUCUCCAUGAACUAAAUUUUAUUUGUGGGUCCUUGGACAACAUUGUGAAUUAUAAAUACACAUAUGCAGCUCGAUGGUUUGUUGAAAUGCAUCAUUAGUAAAUAUACAUAAAACUCGACGAUUGAAAGGUCAUGAUGACGAGCAUAAGGUAUAAAAGCUAUGUUGGUUAACUUUAUUGUUAUGAACUGUGUUCUUUAUAUACAAGUAUGUGGAAAAUACUUAGUCCCAAGAUAUUUAAAAGUAUUCACUCAUUAGUGAGUCUUAGUUGUAAGUCAGUUACACAGCUUUUGCUUAGUUGUUGCUACUUAUUUGCAUAAGACAGGGUCCAUGAUGUUAAUAUUUGCUUGGAUACAAGGUGUGUCAACGGUUGAAUCAACUGUCAGGAGUUUUACACUCUAAUUUUGUCAAAAGUGGAAGGCUCUUCAGGACUUUGUUUCUGAAGAGAGGCAAGAUGAAGAGCAGAAAGUCCUGUUGCGGAUGGGAUCUAAAUUUUGACUUGAAUAACAAGUCAACAACUCAACGUAGGGAAACGAUGCAGCUCGAUGAUGAAACAAAGCCACAAGAAUAUGGUGAACACAAUGGCCAAUGCGAUUGCACAAAUACAGGAGAAGCCGGUGGGAAAACUAGAACGGCAUAUAUUUUGACUUCAGAAGUAGUUGGAAGCUGGGAAUUUAGCACGACCUCAGUUCACGGGGAGAAUGAAAAUGAACGGAGGGGAGUUAGAGAUACAGUUGGAAGUGGCAAUGAAUCUUAAGAAGAUGGCCAGGAUGUGGGGAGUCAGAUUGGGGGUUCAGCUGCUGCUCUUGGCGCCUCUUGCUAUUUGAACAAGUUUGAACCAGGAGUGUUAUGCUCUAAAUGAUAGUGCCCAAAUUGUAGCUCCUGAAUUUAACCAAAACAUCUCCGAUGGUGGUGGUAUUGGUUCAGGUCUAACAAGGGAAAUGGGUGAUGAAGGAUCUAAUGCAGACCAUGAAGACGGAAGUAAUCACGACUGUGACACUAAUGUAGGAGUUGAUCACGCAUGAGUGAGCAAAACGACGAUCCACUAUUUAAAUGACGUUGAUGUUACUAAAGACGAUUCUGUAGGAUAAGUUGACAACAAUUUUUUUUAUAAAAAAAAGAUGUAGCCAUGUAAAUAUGAGUUAGAGUU